UGCAAAAAUGCGUAGUAAACCCCACACAGCCAACAAGGGCUGUCCACCUCCUGCAGCGCCAUGUGACACAACAAACUUCCAUUACGGAUGAAGAGUUCACGAGAGCUGGAGGCUGCACUAAGCAACAACCUGUACUCUGAGUCGUAUGAUUGGAUCUACCUUGAAGUUGCAGACCCAGAGGAACUGAACAACUUCUGCCUGCUGGCCCCUUACAUGGUGGGAGGAGGACUAAUGGUCUCAGCCACGGUGUUUUUACUUCACAGAGCCAGCAUGUUGAUGACAUGACGGAGGGUCCAGAUUGAAACAGAGACAGUUGACGAAUGGAAGACUGCACUCAAGAGCAAGCUCAAUCUAGAGGGUGAUAUUGUUAUCCAGAUUCAAGAUCUAGAGUUCAACAAUGAGCUCUGCAACUUGACUGACAUGUCUGAGCUACCCACAGAGAGACCAAGGCUGAAGGUAAUAUUAAAGACUCCACCCAUUACACCCCCCUCUGUAUCCUCAUUGGACACUGGUUGUUCUGACAGCCAGUAGAUCCUCAGCAUCCUUCAGUAUCUCUCUAUCAACCCUUCCUUCCAAGCCCUGGCCUGAAAAUUUUAUCAUCCCCACUUUUUCUUAUGAUGUUGAACUUAAGCUCAGAAUAGGAAAUGAGGCUUAUGAAAAAGAUGGUUCCCUGCUUACUGUGACUCCUGCUAUGAAGAGAGACAUACUUGACAGAGUAGGAAGCGCUAUGUAUGAGUACAGUGCAUAUCCAACAUCAAAACAAAUUGAGGAUGUUGCCCAAGCCCUUGUUGAAAAGCAUCCCUGUUUGAGAGAGCCGGGUUCUUCACACGGAUGGUAUUGAUGGAAGUUCAGCCUCAGUUUUAAGACAGGUAACCUCCGUCAGAAGUACUGUAUCGCUGGAUGCCCAGAGCUUACAGUCAAUCAAAAGAGGUCAACAGACACAUCAACUGGGAACAGGAAACUGAAGAAAGCAAAACGGUCUCAGAUCAACUUCUUGCCAGAUAUUCCUGAAGGGAGGUCUCCAGAUUGCCUUGAAAGUGAGAGAAUAGCGCUGAUCGAGGAGAUGAAGAAAAAGAAGAGAGAAGGGAAAAUGAUGGAUGCUCUGAUGGAGAGCACCUUUGCCUUGUGAAGGAAGGAGAUUGUUGACAGUGAGCCUCCUGUGUCUGAAAUUGAAGACAGAUGGCCGGCUCUGUUCCCAGAAAGACAGCUAAUUAUUUUAUUAGGGCAGAGUUUCUAUCGAUCUCCUCCGGUCUUUCUUUGAUGGACUCGACAAGUAUGUCCCAAGACUGCUGGAAAUGUACAGAGUGUGAAGUAGUAGCAAUUCUGAUCUGCGCAGUCUGCUUCAGCCCCUUGAUGUACAAACUUCAAACCAGAAGAGAAGAGCAGCUGCUUUGCUUGGACUUCCAUAUUACCUGAAGGAGGAUCCCAACAGUUUCAUCUGUGUCUGUGAGGCUUCAGAAUCAGGAGGAGACUACAAAAGGAGUGGACAUUGGCCUUCUCAUUGUUGCAGAGGCAGGUGGAAGCAAGCAAGAGUUGCUGGCAAAAGAGUUUGUCGAUGUUGCUGUUGUACUGGAGGAGCACGUCAUUCUGCCUUAACAUAGAUUAUCCCAAAGGACUGAAGUAUACAUUCGAGCUAAUACAAAAAGUCUUCAUGGGCAUCGGCAGUGGCAAUUGCUCAGUGAAAGUUCACGGACUCCGAAACAAGACGCUUCAAGACAAAGUGUAGUGGCAAGUUGGCAGUUCAUGUUAAGUUAAUGGCGGCUAUCACUGUUUCAUUUGGUCUUUUUGAAUUCUACAAAUGUUAAUACACAAAAACUCAAAGACACACUCAACACAAGGCCUAUGCUAAAACAAGAAAGGCCUGUAAAAGUCAGAAAAAAUACUUGCACAUGUUCUAAAAAUGAAUGUUGUACAUUUUGUUCAGUUAAGAGACAAUCUUACAUGUUUGUGCAAUUUAACCACAGCACUUCAAGCAGUAAGCUUUUUUAUUUCACAAUUGCUCCUUUUAUACCUUAGCAGUUGUUCUUUUAUUGUAAAAGCACAGUACUACAGUUUUAUUAGAUAAAUGUCGAUAAGUACAGAAACGUUAAAUAUGCGGCAUUUCUCUGUAAUAUGAAGAAGAUUCAUACCAAAAAGACCACUGUAAGUUUUGAAAUGAAAUAAAAUAGCAUUCUGAAUGUUCCUUGUUGUUGAUGAAUCAAUUUUAUGUUGUACUGUUGGAAAAAGUAACCUAGCUGUCUUAGAAAUAUAGUUACUUCAACAAGAUGCAUAUUUGAGCCAUCUUUUAUUAUUAUGUUUGCACAACUAAAAAAUAUAAAUUGAUUCAAUAAGAUGCUUAGUUUAAACAACUUUUAUUUUCGUGUUUGUAUAACUCAAGAUAUCAAUAAGUUUGUUGGUUGUACUAGUCAUUUUAUGUUGUCUUAACUAGGGUUUAGGUUUAUACAACUUGAAAUGCCUUGUUGGUAUCACUAAAUUAAUUUGUUGAUCAAAUUUAAAGUAUAAAGUUGACGGGACUAUUUUUUCACCUUGACCUUUGUUACCCCAACUAUUUACUAGUUUAAGGAACUCAGUUUCUUAGCUCGCUUAACUCAACAUUUUAAAGCAGCCAGGUUACAAAUUAUUUUAAGUUAAACCUGAUAGUUUUUUUUUACAGUGCAAACUUAGCAAAGCAGUCUUUGACUUUGUCAUGUAAAUAAUUUGGUCAAAUUAUAGUUGAUGUGCUUGUGCCCUAAAUUGUAGGCAACAUCCAGUAACUUAAAAUAUUGAUAAGUAAUCCAGUACUUUAUAAUUGUAUAUUCAUACAAAUGAAAGUUUCCAUUACUUGUUACUCAUGACAUUCUGUCGUACAGAUUAAUAUAUCUUUAGGUUACAAUUUAAUCUUAUGCGAUUACACUGUAGGUUCAUAGAAAAUCCUUAUGAGUAUACAGGUUUAUGCUGAGUAUACAGCAUGGAAACUUUCAUUUGUUCAUCCAUACAUCCAUGUCAAGUUGCUAUGAAAGCAAACAGCUUAACAGUGUUUUAAAGGUACACUGAGGGGUUUCAGAGGUGAGUCCCCAUUUGAUUUGCGGUGGCAGAAUGUAACUAAAUGCACUUACUCCAGUAUGGUACAAAAUACAACUCAGAUGAACUUUA